rnacentral:rRNA from 1 species
UACAGAGGGUGCAAGCGUUACUCGGAAUUACUGGGCGUAAAGCGUGCGUAGACGGUCACGUAAGUCGGGUGUGAAAGCCCCGGGCUCAACCUGGGAAUUGCAUUCGAGACUGCAUGGCUAGGGUGCGGAAGAGGGAAGCGGAAUUUCCGGUGUAGCGGUGAAAUGCGUAGAUAUCGGAAGGAACACCAGUGGCGAAAGCGGCUUCCUGGUCCAGCACCGACGUUCAGGCACGAAAGCGUGGGGAGCAAACAGG